GAUGAACGCUGGCGGCGUGCCUAAUACAUGCAAGUCGAGCGAACAGACGAGGAGCUUGCUCCUCUGACGUUAGCGGCGGACGGGUGAGUAACACGUGGAUAACCUACCUAUAAGACUGGGAUAACUUCGGGAAACCGGAGCUAAUACCGGAUAAUAUAUUGAACCGCAUGGUUCAAUAGUGAAAGACGGUUUUGCUGUCACUUAUAGAUGGAUCCGCGCCGCAUUAGCUAGUUGGUAAGGUAACGGCUUACCAAGGCAACGAUGCGUAGCCGACCUGAGAGGGUGAUCGGCCACACUGGAACUGAGACACGGUCCAGACUCCUACGGGAGGCAGCAGUAGGGAAUCUUCCGCAAUGGGCGAAAGCCUGACGGAGCAACGCCGCGUGAGUGAUGAAGGUCUUCGGAUCGUAAAACUCUGUUAUUAGGGAAGAACAAAUGUGUAAGUAACUAUGCACGUAUUGACGGUACCUAAUCAGAAAGCCACGGCCAACUACGUGC
rnacentral:rRNA from 1 species